rnacentral:lncRNA from 12 species
AGUCUGUGGUGCCUGCCCGUAAUUAAUUCACUGCCUGGCGAAGGCAGGUCAGCCACUCAGGCUGGGAGAGGAAGCUCUAGAGAAAAGCAGAGGCACAGUAACGGGCUGGAAAUGAGUUCGCCCCGUCGCCCGGACCUGCCGCAGCUCGAGGACCGGAAUAAAUACAUACAAAUCCAGGCUUGCCAGGAACUUGGCCUUGCUGGCAGCAGAAGGGGAGGUCCCCAGGGCUUCGACCUGCUUAAUGCGCAUCAGAGCAGAGACCAGAACACCAACCCAAAUGGAUCAACAGGCUCCUGCGACCGUGUUGAGAAGGAUCCCGAGGGCCAGUUGGGACUUGGUAGGAAAGCUUGUUGGCACGGUCUUCAAGGGCAUCAAAUACAGCAAAGGGACCCAGGCCAGGCCGGGCUGGAGAAAAGCUGGGACCCCCCACCCCCGCCCAAGCCCCACCACCAACAUGCCCAAGAAAAGUAGACUGGUCUCCCCAGAGGCCCUGGGCCCCUCUCAAGCCCAGCCUUCACCAGCUGAGCCAAGACAUUGGGAGGAGGCGAGGACAGGGCCGUGUAGAGUGGUCAGGCCCCCCCAGGAACGAGCCACAGUCCAGGGCUUCUCGAACCCUCAGGGAGAGAGAGGCGCCCUGCACAAUGCCAGCUCGCUUUUCACAGAUUAUACUCUGUGGAGUCGGCCAGCCUGGUAAUUAUUCCACUUCUAUAAUUAG